UACGAAGGGGGCUAGCGUUGUUCGGAUUUACUGGGCGUAAAGCGCACGUAGGCGGUUUGUUAAGUCAGGGGUGAAAUCCCAGAGCUCAACUCUGGAACUGCCUUUGAUACUGGCAAGCUCGAGUCCGGAAGAGGUAAGUGGAACUCCUAGUGUAGAGGUGGAAUUCGUAGAUAUUAGGAAGAACACCAGUGGCGAAGGCGGCUUACUGGUCCGGAACUGACGCUGAGGUGCGAAAGCGUGGGGAGUAAACAGG
rnacentral:rRNA from 1 species